rnacentral:lncRNA from 1 species
UACUCUACCGAUCCUGGACACGUGCCCAAAAAAUAGUGUCAACACAUGCCCCCCCAGUUUCGGAGUAUGAAAUCAUUAAUGCUCCGAAAUUCUCUACAGUAAUGAUGCCUUUCCGCAAUUAAUUUUCCCGAUUUGAUAACCGACAGCCUUAAUCUGAACAACCCUGGUUUGAUUCCUCCGUAUAUCCCUCGAAAUCUUCAACCUUCCAAACGAACAUUUCCACUCUAUUCGCCCAUCGGCAAUGUUAUCGUUACAGAGACCUGCCGAUGGACUGACCAGGACGUUCUGUUUAGUAAAGUAUCUUAUCCUCCCAA